rnacentral:rRNA from 1 species
UACGUAGGGUGCAAGCGUUGUCCGGAAUUAUUGGGCGUAAAGAGCUCGUAGGCGGUCUGUCGCGUCUGCUGUGAAAACUCGGGGCUUAACCCCGGGCCUGCAGUGGGUACGGGCAGACUAGAGUGCGGUAGGGGAGACUGGAAUUCCUGGUGUAGCGGUGAAAUGCGCAGAUAUCAGGAGGAACACCGGUGGCGAAGGCGGGUCUCUGGGCCGUAACUGACGCUGAGGAGCGAAAGCAUGGGGAGCGAACAG